AGCCUCUCAGGAUCAUACCUGGAGAGUUUCCAGUACCCUUCCAGUCUCAGCUAUGGGAGGGAGAGUCAAGCAGAGGCAUACCCAUUCCAUUCCAUAGCUUGGGCAAUGGCUAGUGAGUGGAGGGCAAUCUGCUACAAGU